GACGAACGCUGGCGGCGUGCUUAACACAUGCAAGUCGAACGGAAAGGCCCUGCUUUUGUGGGGUGCUCGAGUGGCGAACGGGUGAGUAACACGUGAGUAACCUACCCUUGACUUUGGGAUAACUUCAGGAAACUGGGGCUAAUACCGGAUAGGAGCUCCUGCUGCAUGGUGGGGGUUGGAAAGUUUCGGCGGUUGGGGAUGGACUCGCGGCUUAUCAGCUUGUUGGUGGGGUAGUGGCUUACCAAGGCUUUGACGGGUAGCCGGCCUGAGAGGGUGACCGGCCACAUUGGGACUGAGAUACGGCCCAGACUCCUACGGGAGGCAGCAGUGGGGAAUAUUGCACAAUGGGCGGAAGCCUGAUGCAGCAACGCCGCGUGCGGGAUGACGGCCUUCGGGUUGUAAACCGCUUUCGCCUGUGACGAAGCGUGAGUGACGGUAAUGGGUAAAGAAGCACCGGCUAGCUACGUG
rnacentral:rRNA from 1 species